rnacentral:rRNA from 1 species
UACGUAGGGUGCGAGCGUUGUCCGGAAUUACUGGGCGUAAAGCGUGCGCAGGCGGUUUGCUAAGACAGGUGUGAAAUCCCCGGGCUUAACCUGGGAACUGCGCUUGUUACUGGCAGGCUUGAGUGUGGCAGAGGGGGGUGGAAUUCCACGUGUAGCAGUGAAAUGCGUAGAGAUGUGGAGGAACACCGAUGGCGAAGGCAGCCCCCUGGGCUAACACUGACGCUCAUGCACGAAAGCGUGGGGAGCAAACAGG